rnacentral:SRP_RNA from 1 species
GCCGGGCAUGGUGGCGCAUGCCUGUAAUCCCAGUUCUUGGGAGGCUGAGACAGGAGGAUCACUGUGAGUUCGAGACCAGCCUGGGCUAUAUAGUGAGUUCCAGGUCAGCCUCAACUACAUAGUGAGACCCUGUCUCAA